GCCCUAGUAACGGCGAGUGAAGCGGCAACAGCUCAAAUUUGAAAUCUGGCUCCUUUGGGGUCCGAGUUGUAAUUUGCAGAGGGAGCUUUUGGCGUCGGUCGUGGUCUAAGUUCCUUGGAACAGGACGUCACAGAGGGUGAGAAUCCCGUACGUGGCCGCCGGCCUUCGCCUUGUAAAGCCCCUUCGACGAGUCGAGUUGUUUGGGAAUGCAGCUCUAAAUGGGAGGUAAAUUUCUUCUAAAGCUAAAUACCCGCCAGAGACCGAUAGCGCACAAGUAGAGUGAUCGAAAGAUGAAAAGCACUUUGGAAAGAGAGUGAAAAAGCACGUGAAAUUGUUGAAAGGGAAGCGCUUGCGGCCAGACGUGCCCGCGGUUGAUCAUCCAGGCUCCAGCCUGGUGCACUCCUCCGCGGGCAGGCCAGCAUCAGUUCGGGCGGUCGGAUAAAGGCCUCUAUCACGUACCACCCCUCGGGGUGGCCUUAUAGGGGAGGCGCAACACGGCCAGCCCGGACUGAGGUUCCGCGCAUCUGCUAGGAUGCUGGCGUAAUGGCAGCAAGCGGCCCGUCUUGAAACACGGACCAAGGAGUCUAACAUCUAUGCGAGUGUUUGGGUGUCAAGCCCGAGCGCGCAAUGAAAGUGAACGGAGGUGGGAACCCUUACCGGUGCACCAUCGACCGAUCCUGAUGUCUUCGGAUGGAUUUGAGUAAGAGCAUAGCUGUUGGGACCCGAAAGAUGGUGAACUAUGCCUGAAUAGGGUGAAGCCAGAGGAAACUCUGGUGGAGGCUCGCAGCGGUUCUGACGUGCAAAUCGAUCGUC
rnacentral:rRNA from 1 species